rnacentral:lncRNA from 1 species
GAAGUGAAGGUAGGGACCCAAACAGUUAUCUGUGUACCCACAUUCGCAGCAGCAUGAUUCGCGGUAGUCAAAGGUGGAAAUAACCAUGCGUCCAUCCAUGGGUAAAUGGACAAAGAAAAUGUCCAGCUCAAGGAGGCUCACGCCUGGAAUCCUAGCACUUUGGAAGGCUGAGGCAGGUGGAUUGCUUGAACCCAGGAGUUGGAGACCAGCCUGGGCAACACAGUGAGACCUUGUUUCUACAAAAUAUGAAAAAAUUAGCUGGGUGUGAAGGCGCGUCCCAGGUACUUGGGAGGCUGAGAGGUGGGAGGUUCACCUGAGCCCAGGAGGCGGAGGUUGCAGCGAGCUGUGCUCCUGCCACUGCACUCCAGCCUGGGCUACAGAGUGACAUCCUGUCUCAAAAAAAAGAAAAAGAAAAAGGAGAAAGAGAAUGUGGUCUAUCCAUACAAUGGGUAUCAUCCUGCCUUGAAAAGGAAGAAUGUUCUGACACACAGGACCGUAAAGGCCACAGCUCAGCCCUGGAAGGACUGUGGAAAAAUGAACUCGCAAAAAGCAGAGCAAUCGCUGUUGGCUGUGUCUUCUGUGAGUGAGCCCCCGGGCUCUUUUGGCUGCCGGCGGUGUGACUUUGGACACAUUCUCCAACUUUUCUCCGCCUUGAUUUCCUCAUCUGUAAAACAGGGACAUAACAGCAAGUGCCUCGUGGAAUCAUUGAAUGGAUGCACUAAUCGCUGGAAAGUGCGCUGCUUGGCCUAAGUGAUGAGUUAGCUGUCAUUAUAGUUAGGAACGACCAUGUACACAUUACAGGCGUUUCACACACACACACAUCCCAAUCCUACCGCUUUCUUAAAACGACAGACAGUACAGUGCCCUGUUCCAUAUUUUGCUUUUACUUAAUUAUAAUCUUUGGAGAACUCACCCUUGAGCACAGGUAUAUUUACCUCUGUGCAGUGUUCCACAGGACCGAUGCGCAGCCCAUCUAGCUAACCUUUCCUCCCCAGCGGAUUUAUGGGCUAUGUCGUUGGUUUGGGUGACAACUUUUUGGUCUACAAUUUUUUUUUUUUUUUUUGCAAUUUGGCAUUAUGGAACUCAACUUUAAAUGCCUAACCUCUAACUCAGCCAUUCUAUUUCUAAGAAUUAAUUCUGCGC